GAUGUAGUCUAGAAUCACUUUACCUUAGAAGUGUAACUGAGAGAAGAGAAACUACAGAGCUACGAGGAGACAGAGAGACUCAGGGAGGAGCUGAGCUGUUACUGAACUAUAGAAGAGAGAGGAACUUCUAGAUUCAACAGAGAUCAAUACACACACCAUCAACAUUACCUUUAUUCAACAUGCUGCCACUGCAGCAUCGGGGGUUUUCUCUGAUGUUUCUCUCCAUCCUCACAGGAGUCAGCUGUGAAGAACUCACUCCAGUAGAGAAAGAAGAGAACAGUUUAGAAGACAGCUCUGUUACUCUGUCCUACAGAUACUUCAGACAAGCAACUGGUGGUGAUCGAUUCUUCUGGUAUCGACAAUAUCCAGGAAAACCUCCAGAGUUCAUCAUCUCUCAUUUAGGAACAGGAGUAACAAUUAAAAAUCCAAUCCCUGGACUGAAGAUUGAAGGGGACGCCAAAAUAAUCCAUAUGAAAAUCUCCUCAGCUAAGCUGUCUGACUCUGCUGUGUACUACUGUGCUCUGCAGCCCACAGUGACAGGAAACACCAAAACUCUGUACAAAAACCUUUGGAGCAAAGACAACACAAUACUCCACAACGUCCACCAGAGGGAGACACACUCUGUUCAGGACAAUCACAAAAUGUUGAGAGUUCCUCAACAGAUGACGAAGAGGAAGGAGCAAUGAUGUGAAGGCCCAGAUCCAUCAGAGUAUCAAUGCUCUUCCUCUCUCCCCCCCUCUCACUGC